AAAAGCUGGUCGGGUUCGGCUCCUUAUUCCAGUCUAAAUAUGAAGUAAUUUGUUCUCUGCAGCUUGAAGAAGAAAUGAGUCUCCAGAGGAAAAAGAACCUGCUGCUGAAAACCCAAACAGGCACAGAGCGUCUGAAACGGAUCAGAGCUGAUCAGAAUCAACACCUGAAGCUGAACCAGAGAACAAAGAGCUGAACGGUUCUGAGGGCCCGUUUGAGUCGGAACCGCAGAACUGUGACCCGGAUCCGGUUCCGCCUCAGGUGUAUUUACCUGGCCGUAGAGUCCAGAUGGUCCAGAUCCCGCCGCGCUCUGCUCCUCUCCUCCUCACAUCUCCCGUCUCACCUUGUCCCAGUGGAAGAAGGACAUGUGAGGUCAGACCCCUGAAGCCCACCGGCCCAGUUCGCGUUAGGAAGCGGCAGUUGGAGCUGAAGCCGCAGGGAGCGGCGGGUCCGCGGCCCCAGCAGCGAGCAGGAGGCUCCGGUCCGAGCAGGCAGCAGCACGCCCGGUUCUGCCCCGGGCUCAGCGGAACCGACGUGACUCAACAGCCCGAACCGCCCGCCACAGCUCCGAACCGAGGCGGGGAUUUUCAUCUGCAUGGACGAAUCAUGUUUCAACUUAUUAAUAAAUCAUUUCAUAUGAAGCUUUAUUGUCAUAAAA